AAGAGCCCAGUGCGAUAAUUUCGCACGCUGGGAUCUGUGCGGGGGAUGUUGGGUAACUAACAUUCCUACCGUGAC
rnacentral:misc_RNA from 1 species